AUACGGAGGAUGCGAGCGUUAUCCGGAUUUAUUGGGUUUAAAGGGAGCGUAGGUGGGAUAUUAAGUCAGCUGUGAAAGUUUGGGGCUCAACCUUAAAAUUGCAGUUGAUACUGGUUUCCUUGAGUACGGUACAGGUGGGCGGAAUUCGUGGUGUAGCGGUGAAAUGCUUAGAUAUCACGAAGAACUCCGAUCGUGAAGGCAGCUCACCGGGCCGGAACUGACACUGAUGCUCGAAAGUGCGGGUAUCAAACAGGAUUAGAUACCCUGGUAGUCCGCACAGUAAACGAUGAAUACUCGCUGUUUGCGAUACACUGUAAGCGGCCAAGCGAAAGCGUUAAGUAUUCCACCUGGGGAGUACGCCGGCAACGGUGAAACUCAAAUGAAUUGGCGGGG
rnacentral:rRNA from 1 species